GUCAAUUUAUCCUCAUGGAUCAUCCAUCAAUCAAAUCCGAGUCUACCUAACUACCUACCUACCUAUCAUCACCGAUAUUUCCUGUUUCUAUCAAACACGUUCCUAGAAUCAACACAAUUUGAAAACGCAAAUGACGACAUGUCUAUCAUCGAUAUUACCUAAGCCACCAUCCAAAAAAUAUCCCUGCCUGUCGUCUAAGUUCUCACCACUAGCUCUUAUAUACAACACGAACAAUUCCGCAAACCAGCUGACCGAACAAACGCGCACGUAUCGUUAGAUAACCGCAAAAAGAAGGGGCUACGUGAAAGGACUCUUGCUCGGCUGAUCUCCUGGAAGCACCGUUCGUUUAUCCGCUUGCUGUCGUUUCGCCGUACGGAGGCGAACUCGUUGCCAGGCAGCCCCGAACGAACGGGCUCUCGAGUUCUUUCCAGGUUUAUCCAGCUUUAUCUUCCAAGUACCAAGUUCGUUAUGGUAUAAUCAAGACAUUUGACGACGACGACGAAGAAAAUGAUGAUAAUGAUGAUGAUGAUGAUGAUGGCGUUGAUGAGAAAACAAUGAUGAUUUCUAGCGUUAAGUCAGAGAAGCUGUUCUCUUCUGUCUUUCAACUUUGAAACCGGUACGGUCAAGCGACAUAUGGGAUGAUGAACCGCUUUUUAUUACGUUUCAUGCACCUACAAAAAGUCUACCUAGCUUUAUUUUCAAUGAUCAUUUUAUCUAGUUAAUUACGUGGACGGUGCAGGUACAUAUAUUAUAUAAUACAAUACCUCUCUCUUUACUCGUACGUAAGGAAAAUUUGUUAAAUCUUAUUAUAUUUGAAGAAAUCUUUUCAAGAAUAAA